rnacentral:rRNA from 1 species
GACGAACGCUGGCGGCGUGCUUAACACAUGCAAGUCGAACGAAGUGGGAACGGGUGAGUAACACGUGGGUAACCUCCCAUCAGAGGGGAUAACACUUGGAAACAGGUGCUAAACCGAUACUGAUGGAUGGACCCGCGGUGCAUUAGCUAGUUGGUGAGGUAACGGCUAACCAAGGCCACGAUGCAUAGCCGACCUGCGGGGGUGAUGGGCCACACUGGGACGGAGACACGGCCCAGACUCCUACGGGAGGCAGCAGUAGGGAAUCUUCGGCAAUGGACGAAAGUCUGACCGAGCAACGCGGCGUGAGUGAAGAAGGUUUUCGGAGCGUAAACUCCUGUUGUUAGGGAAGCGGUACCUAACGAAUAAGCACCGGCUAACUCCGUGCCAGCAGCCGCGGUAAUAC